rnacentral:rRNA from 1 species
UACGUAGGGUGCAAGCGUUGUCCGGAAUUACUGGGCGUAAAGGGCUCGUAGGCGGCCAACUAAGUCGGAUGUGAAAUCCCCAAGCUUAACUUGGGAACUGCAUCCGAUACUGGAUGGCUUGAAUCCGGGAGAGGGAUGCAGAAUUCCAGGUGUAGCGGUGAAAUGCGUAGAUAUCUGGAGGAAUACCGGUGGCGAAGGCGGCAUCCUGGACCGGCAUUGACGCUGAGGAGCGAAAGCUAGGGGAGCAAACGGG